rnacentral:rRNA from 1 species
AACGAACGCUGGCGGCAUGCCUAACACAUGCAAGUCGAACGAGGCCUUCGGGGCUAGUGGCGCACGGGUGCGUAACGCGUGGGAACCUGCCCUUAGGUUCGGAAUAACUCCCCGAAAGGGGUGCUAAUACCGGGUAAUGUCUUCGGACCAAAGAUUUAUCGCCUUUGGAUGGGCCCGCGUUGGAUUAGCUAGUUGGUAGGGUAAAAGCCUACCAAGGCGACGAUCCAUAGCUGGUCUGAGAGGAUGAUCAGCCACACUGGGACUGAGACACGGCCCAGACUCCUACGGGAGGCAGCAGUGGGGACUGUUGGACAAUGGGCGAGAGCCUGAUCCAGCAAUGCCGCGUGAGUGAUGAAGGCCUUAGGGUUGUAAAGCUCUUUUACCCGGGAUGAUAAUGACAGUACCGGGAGAAUAAGCUCCGGCUAACUCCGUG